ensembl:misc_RNA 7SK 7SK RNA
AGGUGUGAGGGCCAUCUGGCUCCUACAUCUGUCACCCCUCUUUAUCACUAGGGUUGAUUUGGCUGAUCUGGUUGGGUAGGCAACGCCCUCUUCUCCCCCACCACUCCAUAUGCGUCCCUCCUGAAGCUGAAUGAUACUCAGUAGAAAAGGAUGACGUGCUCCAGUAGACGAGGACCACUGUCUGGUCAAGGGGAGCUGUGCUCCCCUACUGGAACCUCCACACAAGCUCUCAAGGUCCAUUAGUAGGAGCAUGCAUGUUGGUCAGGCUCCCAAGACUUCAGACACAUCCAAAUGAGGCAAUGCAUGUGGCAGUCUGCAUUUCUUU